UACAGAGGUCUCAAGCGUUGUUCGGAUUCAUUGGGCGUAAAGCGUGCGCAGGCGGUUUUGUAAGCCAGAUGUGAAAGCCCCGGGCUCAACCUGGGAAUGGCAUUUGGGACUGCAAGGCUUGAGUGCGGCAGAGGAGACUGGAAUUCCUGGUGUAGCAGUGAAAUGCGUAGAUAUCAGGAGGAAUACCGAUGGCGAAGGCAGGUCUCUGGGCUGACACUGACGCUCAUGCACGAAAGCGUGGGGAGCAAACAGG
rnacentral:rRNA from 1 species